UGUUUGAUUGAAUGCUUUGCUGUGUUUCAGUCAGCCUUUGCUGCAGCUUCUCCUGGAGACUGUCAUCCUCAGCACGGCUUGUGGAGCAGCUCUGAGGAUUUGGGUUCAGACCACAAACAUCUCAAGAUGAUGUGCAGACAAGAGUCUUCCUGUGAUCUGCUUCGAGGCGUUUGUUCUCGGGCUGAAGAGCUUGGCUGCGGUGGGACAUCAGCAGGUUCAAACUCUGAUUUGGUCUGCUGCCUUCCGAUUCAUUCACUCAGGCUCGUUCUCUUUCACUCUGUCAACGAGCACAUAAUCACUCGCUCACACGUAUUACCCCUCACUGAAUCACCUCCUUCACUCUGUCACCACGGCUGUGAUUCACUACCUCACGUGCUCACGCUUUCACCUACACAGUAACUCACCAAGCAACAUAACUCACUCAUGCUUUCCUUCACCCUCUCACUUCUUAACUUACUGCUUUACCCACUCGCUCUUCUCCAUUCAACUACUGUCACUCAUUCAGUCACUCACUCAAUCUUUCCUUCACUUGCUCACAUAGUCUUUUACUCACUCACUCGCGACACAAUAUUUCCUUCAUUCACUCACUCCUUCACAGACUCACUCCUUCAUCCACUCACUCUUUCCUUCACUCACUCCCUCACAGACCAAUCCUUCUCUCACUAACUCACUCCUGUCAUGAACUCACUCCACUGACUCACACCUUCACCCACUCACUCCUUCACAGACUCACUCCUUCAUCCACUCACUCUUUCCUUCACUCACUCCCUCACAGACCCAAUACUUCUCUCACUAACUCAGUCCUAUCACAAACUCACUCCUUCAGACUCACUCCUCUCAUUCACUCACUCCUUCACUGACUCACACCUUCACCCACUCACUCCUAUCACUCAUUCACUCCUUCACAGACUUACUCCGUCUUUCACUCACUCCCUCACAGACUCAAUCCUUCUCUCACUAACUCACUCCUUCAGACUCACUCCUCUCAUUCACUCACUCCUUCACUGACUCACAUCUGCACUCACUCCUUCACAGACUCACUCCUUCACAGACUCACUCCUUCACCAACUCACUCCUUACCCAUUCACUCCUAUCACUCACUGACUCACUCCUCCACAGACUCACUCACUCACUCACUCAGUAGAAGCUCCAGUCACUGGCCCUUAUGUGUGUGCAGUGGGAUAAACAGAUCUGUGGCUGGACUUCAGCCACCAGUGCUCACAAGUCAAGGAGGGAGUCGGAAUAACAAAACAGUCUGUUUGGUACUGGACCUGGACUUGAGGGAGACGUGGGAGCUGCUAAAGCAUCACAGCGAUAUAAACAGACCCUCGGCUGCUACCUGACACAUUCCUUCCUCCAUAUCUGGGAAUUCUAAGGACAACACGCGUCUAAGUCUCAGGAAGCGUCCACCUCUGCCCCUCGCUGCCGGGACAGAUUGAAUGACACGGUGGAGAGGCCCAGUCAACUCCCACUCAGGGAAAUGCCCUGCAGCCAUUCUGGGGAUCCGAUCCUUCCCGGCGAGCAGGAGGCCUUCCACGCAGGAUUAUCCUGCGCUUGUUUACACAGAUGUUGAUCUCAGAUGAGAGACGAGAGGAAGGAGAGGACGACCGCUGCUGCUCCACAGUGUCAACGGGCCGGUGACGCAGAUCGGCCCGAACAUUACGACCGCUGAAGUGCUUAUCUUGUGUUUUAAGUGGUCCAAACCAGAAAAGCGGUGAACCAGAGGAGAGGUCACGCUACAGUCUGCUGACCUAGGUCAGGGUAUGUUGUCGCGACCUCUGACAGUUGGGAGGAGGCCUGGGGCAGACCCAGAGAGCGGACGUCUCUCUCACCCGGCAACACCUCAGUGCUCCACAGUAGAGCUGGAGGAGGUCUCUGAGGAGAGGGGAGUCUGGGCUGCAUAACUUCGGGUGCUGCCUCCAUGACCCGACCGUAACUAGCUGCUCUGCUUUUCCAGAAACCUCCAAACCCACGUCAUCUCAAAGAGAUCCACAGCACAAUCCUUCAUCUGCCAUUGUGGAGGACCUCGCCCCCGGACCAGUCACGGUUGCGUCAGCCUCCAAUCACCACAACAACUCAGCAGUUCCAACCAUCCCUGCUAUUUGUCUCCAUUAACACCAGUCCGUCCGGAGGGCGGAUGUUAGUCUGGUCAAAUCGGACUGUAGAUCCAACACCGUCUGAGAUAAACGCCGGACUUCCCCUUCCAGGAGACGGACUUUAUCAGCCCCCUCAUGCCUGCUCUCGUGGUGGCCCGUCUCUCUUCGCUCCGGUCCUGCGAGCAGAGAAUUGCAACGUUACCCGCUCCAGUGUGCGCCGCUCCGUGGAACAAGUCGUAGGAAGAAGGGGACGCGUCCGAGAGCAGCACGUUCAGCAGGAGCGUGAAAAGUGCGCAGCGCCGCUCCAUGGCUCCCGGUCCGGGCUUCACAGUCCAGUAACAGUGCAGGAAAAAGUUGGAGGCGCAGAGCUGACGCCGUCUUCUCCUCCCUCGCUCAGGUCACUGCGACUGCCUCAGUUUGGGGAAGUCCACGAUCCCAGCCCUGGAAUGACGCUGGAGCCCACACCCUUCUCCUCCAGACAGAAAAAACCAGAGGGGAAACAGAGGCUUGGUCCCAGGUGCUGACCUGAAGAGAAGGCUUGUUUGAAGAGGGUCAGCCAGGUGCAACACGACUGCUUGAGUUCAGCACGAGAUCUAAAGGAGCAGCGUGACGAGGAGUCCUCACGCCGAGGCUGAAUAUGUACGGCAGGGACCUGACUUCUGACUUGACUCCUGGUUCCCAUGGCAACCAUCGAAGUCAGCGCCCACCUGAUCUCAUCUUCUUCUGCGGCGCCGGGUUACGCUAUGACUGGCCUGAAACUGGAAGCACACGCGCGGCUGCCCGCAACACGGGCUGGGAUCACGAUAGAACGGGAUCCUCAUGGAGAAAAUAGAGCACGAAAAAAGAAAAAAAAGUGAAUUUGAAACUUCCCAGAGGACAUGAAGAUCAUGCUUCAGUCCCUCAUUAUUGACGAGGAUGCUGCUGAUCUGCUGCAGCUCGACUCCAUGGAGUGGAGAAAACAAACCCGACUGCUGGGAUGUCUCCAAGCUUCAGGGACCUGUGGCCGCGGUGCCGCUCCAACCCAGCGGCGCUGUGAUUCCUCACGCAUCAGGCCAACUGUGAGCGCCCCCUGCUGGUCUGUGUGGCGGACCCCCCCCCACCACUCUGCUGCCCUUUGACCCACGUCCUGGCAGCCAUCAGGCGGUGAGUCCCUGAGAGACGACGGAAGCGUCACACUGGCUGCCGCGGCGAGUGUUGGAGACGUUCUGGAGAUGCCCGCGUUCGUUUGGAGGAGAAGGGGUCGGAGCCGAAGCCGGUGUUACGUCUGUUCGAGGAAUAGAGGCGCCGGCCGAACGGUGCUGCGAGCAUGUCUGAGGUGCAGCGCCGGUCAGAGCUCUGUGAUGAAUCCUUCAGGAGCGGACUCUGGAGCACAUCCUGGUCAUUGUCAGCGAUUGAGCCAUGACUCGAGAGUCACCGUGUUCAUGUUUUCUGGCAUAUUAAAUGUUAUUUUCCUGUUGUUCAGGACCAAAUAAAGGUGACAGGCCCCGGGCGAGUCGGUCAUCAUCGUCCCGAGCUCCAGGCAAUGUUCCCUCUCAUCUUUCAUGUGUCUGAGCAAAUACACCUAGAAAUAGAUAUUAAACAAAUAUUGACAAUUUGCACACAUUGAGGAAUGGAGCAUGUGUGAAAUGUAAAGAA